rnacentral:rRNA from 1 species
UACGAAGGGGGCUGGCGUUGCUCGGAAUUACUGGGCGUAAAGCGCACGUAGGCGGCUUUCUAAGUCGGGGGUGAAAUCCUGGAGCUCAACUCCAGAACUCGCCUUCGAUACUGGAAAGCUCGAGUCCGGGAGAGGUGAGUGGAACUGCGAGUGUAGAGGUGAAAGUUCGUAGAUAUUCGUCAAGAACACCAGUGGCGAAGGCGGCUCACUGGCCCGGUACUGACGCUGAGGUGCGAAAGCGUGGGGAGCAAAGCAGGG